GCCAGACUCCUACGGGAGGCAGCAGUGAGGAAUAUUGGUCAAUGGGCUUACGCCUGAACCAGCCAAGUCGCGUGAGGGAAGACUGCCCUAUGGGUUGUAAACCUCUUUUGUCAGGGAGCAACGCCGGCUACGUGUAGCCGGACUGAGAGUACCUGAAGAAAAAGCAUCGGCUAACUCCGUGCCAGCAGCCGCGGUAAUACGGAGGAUGCGAGCGUUAUCCGGAUUUAUUGGGUUUAAAGGGUGCGUAGGCGGAAUGCCAAGUCAGCGGUAAAAUCGCGGGGCUCAACCUCGCUCCGCCGUUGAAACUGGCUGUCUUGAGAUGUCGAGAGGUAUGCGGAAUGCGCAGUGUAGCGGUGAAAUGCAUAGAUAUCACGCAGAACUCCGAUUGCGAAGGCAGCAUACCGGCGCCCGACUGACGCUGAGGCACGAAAGCGUGGGGAUCGAACAGGAUUAGAUACCCCAGUAGU
rnacentral:rRNA from 1 species